CCGCCCUAAACUCCCCUUCUCUCUCAAACGCUCUCAAACACUCAAACCUUUGCCCCCCCGCCUUCUCCGACCCUUAUCUCGCUGGUGUCUUUGGAUUUUCAGGCCAUGGACGACUUGUGCUCAACUCUCUUCACUCCUAAGCCAUGGGUGUUCAAUAUUUUGAGGUCAGACCUCUAUGGCACCUGUCAGAUCCUUUGCCGAUCUGUGUUCCUAUGGCCUCUCCGGCCCUGUUCCGACGUAUUCGAGUUCUGGGAGCCUAGCCAUGGCCAUCUCUGACUCAAGACCAGACCUCUUCCGAGCCUUCUCAUUUCUAGGGUUUAAGCCUAAAAUCUAUUCGAGGUUCCUUCUUCUUUUGUUUGCCUAGAUCUGUGAAAAAUCUGUGAUAUAUUCAAUGUUUUAAAAAAUUUCCCCAAUUUUCCUGUUUAAAUUAGUUUGUUUUCAAUUUAUGGUUUCUGAAAAAAUCUCAAAAACAAUUUUUGUCACUUCUUCUUCUUUUUUUGCGUGAAUCUGUCUAUGCCAUGUUCUUUCCUCGCAUGCAUGCUCCUAUGUUCUUAUGUUUUGCCAUAUUAUGCAUGUUCUUCUAUUUUGUGUUCUGUUCUUCCCUCUACUGGGUUCUAUAUGCAUGAUUUACAUGUCUAUCUUGUAUGUCCCUCUACUGUAUUUUCUGAGCUAUUGCUCCUUGCUUUCCUUUAGUGGACUUUGUUUGAACCCUAAGCAUGUUUCAUCUACUGAUUUCCUAAACUUGUAUUGCUUUUUCUUUCUUGAACGUAUUUGAGUGCCAAGGUUUUCCUAAAUGUAUUCCCUGUGCUUAAAACUUGUUGUUCUCUCUAUUUGUUUUCUCAUAAGUCUAUGAAAGAGACUACUGAGCCUAUUCUAUUUGUUAUUUUCUCGCCUAUGCAUCUUAUUCGAGUCAGUAACCCUUGUAUUUGGGGGCGGGGUGGUUUGGCGAGCUUGACUUGUAUUUGGGAUAGGGUUCCAUUUAGAACCCUUGACUCGCUUUCAGACUCAUCUGAGUCUGUGAACCUAACCUUCUUGGUUACUCUGAUUUCUUGCUAGUUUUACGACAACUCUCUCUUGUCUCACAUGCCUGCAUGCUUUUUAUAUGACAAAUUCUCUUCUUUCAAAAGGGAUUUGGCCAGCAUUGUAAUUGACUCCAAACCCCUUUUAAUGCUUGAUCGAGUGUUUACUGAUUUUCUUUAAAUUAAACCCCUUCUCACCUUUUUCUGGUUGGAUUCAUUCACACUAAGAUUUGAAUCCUGAUUUUCCUGGCUGUUAAUUGAUUGUCUUUCCUUAUUUGGCCCAAACCGUGUACUACUAAACUAUUUUCUUAAAUAAUGCUCUGUGUAUUUACUCCUGUUACACUGCUUUAGAAAAGAUUUUUAAAACAAAUCCUUUCCUUAUUUGUUUUGCCAGUUUGAAUCAAAUCCCUUAACCAAAGGGAAACAACUUGUGAUUGAUUUCAAAACUAUUCUCUUUCCUUUUUCUCUACUUGUCUUCUGCACUAUAAAAGGGUCUACCCUUUUUUCACUAAAGGACAUGCUUUCACACACUUUCUUCACUCAAAAUACAGGCAUUAUACACAUGAAUACUGAGUUCUUUCACGAUUAAAAUCCUAUUCUCUUCUUCCCUGUGCUUCUAUUAUCUGCUUUUCGAAACAACCUUGACUUUUCUUCGAGCCCUCCAAGUGUUCUGCUGAGAACUUAAGUCUGUUCCUGUUGUGAUUGCUUUGUUGUUUUGCUCUUUUAUUACUCUACAACUGGUAUGUUCUUCAUAGUUAAAUAAUGCUCCUCCAUUAUAUGUUUACUUCUUAAGUUAUGUUAUGUUCUUCUUUACUAUGUUUCCGCAACUCUGUUUGUGCUUUUCUUAUGUGAACUCCCAUUCCUUUAUCCCUUUGUAUGCGAGUGUGGUUCCAACCAUAGCAGCUCUUUAACAUUGCUGUCUAUGACUCCGAACUGGGGUUUUUUGAACCCCUAACUCGAACCACUUCCCAAUCCCUUCUCCCCUUUAUGUGUUUGAGCCUGGACUUGUGUCUGGUGGUGUCCUAAUUACCAUCCAUACUUAGGUUGACCCUCAAAGGUCUUCUCCUAACUAGUUUGACCAAACAAAUGGUCAGGGGUGUUCUAGUCUGCACCUGUGACUUGGUAUGACCACCAUUUGUUAUGGCUCCCCCAAUUCCUCUUUCACUUAACACUUACUCCUAGCUCUAAUUUCCGCCCCUCUCUUGUAAGCCAUGCUUUGGGACCCUUGAGAUCCCUCUAAACUUUGAUGCCUGAGGGCUGGCUAUACCACACUGCACUAUGUGAGCACGUGAUUUUUGCCGUGUUUUAAUUACUCCUAUAGACUCGUUAAAAUUAGAAUUUUUGUUCUUUAGGAAUUAAUUAUUCAAUUUCGUGUUUUGUUUGCAUGUUUGUGUAUUUUAUUUCUUUAAUUAAUUAAAAAUUAGUUAAAUUAGUAUUAUUCAAACAAGAAAAAUAACAAAAAAUUGCCUUUUCUUGCAUUUUAGUUAUUAAUUGUCAAAUUGGUCGUAAAAUAAUUUUAAACAAUUUUUGUAAAUUAGCUAGUUUAGUUUUAGAAUAAAAUUAGGUUUUAUUUUACUUUCUUGCAUUUAGUUUACAAUAUUGAAAAUUAAAAAUAAAGCAAAAAAUGAAAUAAAAAAAAAUUGGUGCAAAAGAAGACAAAGAAAAGGGAUGUCUCGAUUUGGGCCAAUUCCCUUUUAAUAUUCCCAGCCCAAAUGUCCCUUGAACUCAUUUUUGCUCCAAUCCCAAUCCCUUCCUGGUCUAAGUUUCAUAAAGAGUGAAACAACGCCAUUUUAGCCGAUGCCUUUUGAUCUUUUGCCGUUCAAUAUUUGAGAUCGACGGCCCAGAAGCUUUGAUCCAUUUUACAUAAAUAUGUAAUAAUAUAUGUAUAAUUUCAUAGACAUAACCUAUCUACCUCGUACCCUUCGUCUUCCUCAGCUACUCCUCUGUUACUCCGUCGUCGACCGCUACCGGAAAUCGUCUCCACUGGCGGCGAAGCUCCAAUCGAUCAAAAAACUCUACCCCAUAAUCCUAUCUUCGUCCCCGUUCCAUUCCCACCAUUAUUUUCUCCCAAAACCCAGCCUAAUUUAUGGAAUUUCAAAUCUGAGAAUGGGUGAAAAACCCUAAUCCGCCCCAAACUGUAAAUAAUUGAUACCAAGGGUUCCUCUGACCCCCUCUGCCAUAAACCUAUGUUCAAAACUCUGCAAAUCCCUUUUGAAGUUCAACGAAUGGUGGAUCUAGGAUUUCAUCAGCUUGGGGUCUUGUGUGAAGGUUUUGAAGUCGAAUCGGUUUCUAGUUAAUGUCAUUAGCCUAUUUUGGAAUAAAUAGCCCAAUAACAUUAACCGAACUUCGAUUUUGGUGGGAUUUUCUGGGCCGAAGUUCGAGGGUGAGUUUUCUUUUUAGUUUUUAGUUUCUUUGCUUUCUUUGUUCCUAUCGUUUUGUUUCCAAUAAUCAAUUUGAGUAAUUAAUCAUCUCUUUGGUUUCCAAUCCUCUGGUUCAUGCUUUAAUGUGAUUAAUCUUCUUCUUUCUUAUUUCUCGUAAUUGUUAUUCGUUAAGAUUUAUUUCUGUUAGUUUGAAUGAUUUGUUUGUUUUGAUAUCUGACUUUUUCUAGUUCUGUGCUUAGUUUGUCCCUCUAUUUCUUUACUCGAUUGUAUUUCGUCUUGAAUUCUAGUCGAUUUUCUCGCUGAAGUUUAGUCUAUGCUUAGUGUAUUUUAGUUUUGUGUUUGUUAGACUCUGAUUUCUUCUCUUUUAUUCUUCUGGUUUGAGCUUUGUUCUAAUUAGUUUGAGUGUAGUCAAUCUCAGGAUUUCAUAUGAGAACAGCUUGAUUUUGGAAUUAAUCACAGUUAGACUCUAGAUGUUCAUUGUGUUAGGAUUAAUUAGUUUUUAUUUAGGACAAGGGAAUGGGUUAUAGCUGAAGAAAUCAUUUGUUAGUUUAGCUAGAGUUACAAUUCUAACUAGGGGUAAAGGGUUAGGUUCAGUUAGGCUAGGCUGUAAUUGUUGGGCUGUUGGAAGGGUAGUUUAGGCAUAGAAAAUGGCAGCAUCUUGAAAAAUAGUAAAUCCAAAACAGGGGAGGAGUAAUUUAGGAAUUUCUCAGCUAAAAGAGCAUCCUAGAUGCUCCUAAAGUGGGGUAAAAGUGUAGCUUUUAGCUUUUUAGUAGUACUUACUUGGUAGCAAGUUAGAAAUAUAAGGUUUUAAAUAGGGGGGGGGGGGGCUUGAUAUGGAAACCCUUUUUGCUGAAAUAUUCUUUCUUCUUGGCCUAUAUAAGGGCAUCAAAUGCUUUGUGAAAGGGGGUUCAACUUUUCAGCCUGAAAUUCAAUAAAAGUUAGCUAGAUUUCUUCAUUUUCGGAAAAUUUCAGUAGUUUCUUACUUCAAAAACCAGAAAAAAAUACAAAAACAUUGACAAAUAGAAACAAAAAUAAUUAUUCCAUUAUUAUUGAAGAAGAGUUUAAUUGAGGUGUUAAUCUUCAUUGUUUGGGGCCAAUUUCGAGCUGGUCUAGUAGAUUUUCCAGAAUUACUAGUGGUUUUUGCUAGGUUGGUUUGCUAACACUGAUUUCUAGGUGGAUAUGCUGGCUUUUAAACUUUCUGGGUCAAUUCUCUUGCAUCUGUGGGCCGCUGUGUGCUCUGUUUAUGUGAUUUGGCUUGGCGUCCUUCUUUCUUAUGUUAUUUUACAUUUCCAGGUAUUUGCUCGAUCUCUCAAGGCUAGAGGCUAGGAAUACUUAUAAUUCGAGUUUGGUUGUGAAAUGAGAAGCUGCUUUAAAUAUCUGGCUUGGUUAGUUUUCCUACUUGUUAUGAGAAUUUUAAUAAAUAGACUAGUCUUAUUACACGCUUAUAUGAAUGUUUUUACCUUAAGUUUCUAUUGAACAUGGCCUGAUUGGCUGUAAAAAUCUAUGUCUCAUAUAUGUGUCGACCCGACCCGUCAUCUCAUGAGUUACUACUCCGUUCUUCCCAUUUUGGCUUUUUAUGUUUAUUACCGGUAUUGGGUGCGUUAAAGUUGAUUUGGCGUGAUUUUGAUAAGAAAUAAUACGAAUAGUCUCUUUAAGGAAGAAUUAAUUUGGAAAAGUCAACCAGACAUUGACAUAUGAGUUAGAGGGCUCGGAAUUGAAUUCCGAUGAUCCGUCUAGUUUCGGGGAAUGAUUUAAGGCUUAGGAGCACAAUCGGAAGUAAUUUUGGAGGUCGGGUGAACAAAUUAGCCUAUUUUGGCGAAGUUAGUAUUUUGGUAUUUCUCGUUUGAUAGGUGAAAUUUAGAUUCGAGAGUCAGAAUGGAAUUCCGAUAAUUUUUGUAGCUUUGUUAUGUCAUUUUGGACUUGUGUGCAAAAUUUGAAGUCCAUCGGACGCGAUUUGAUAGGUUUCGGCAUCGGAAAUAGAAGUUAGAAAUUCUAAAGUUCAUUAAACUUGGAUUGCAGAUUGAUUCAUGAUUUUAGCGUUGUUUGAUGUGAUUUGAGGCCUUGAACAAGUCCGUAAUGUGUUUUGGGAUUUGUUAGUAUGAUUGGUCGAGGCCUCGGGUGUGUUUCGGGUUGUGAUCACGCUCUUAUUCGAUAUUUCAACGUCAUUUCUUUGGAAAUAAAGGGGGUACCCUAUUAAGCAAAUGAGAUCCAAAUUCAGUUUUAAGUAAACCAUUAGAUCCGUAUCAAAAUUACGGAGUCAUAGGAAAAUGAAUCAUCGAAUUUGGACAUCGUAUGAAGAAAUUAUGCUCAUUUUCCUGUGAAGAAAAAUGUUGCUUCUGGUAUGCUCGCAAUUGCAAACAAAGUGUGGGAAUUAUGAACCCUAUAAGCUUCGCAAAUGCGAAGAGAAAGGAUGGGAAAUGCAAAAAAACUGUAGCAAUCUGGGAAUUGCAAAAAAACUGUAGCUUCGCAAUUGCGAAGAAAUUUCUAGGAAUUGCGAAAUCACUGUAGCUGCGGCAGAAUGUUAAAAAAAAUAUUUCAGUCGUGAAAACACCCUAUUUCUCCUCCAUUUUCAGUCAUUUUGAGAGCUUUUGGACGGGGAUUGAAGGGAGUUUCAACUGAGAUCGAUUGGAAGUAAGUUUUAUGAGUUAAAUACAUGAUUUUAUUGAAUAAUCAUCCUAGAAAUCCAUGAAAAAUAGCUAAAUUAUAAAAAAUUACGGCUUGAGAUUGAAAUUCUAAAAUGGUCGUACGUUUUAUGAGUUAAAUACAUGAUUUUAUUGAAGAAUCAUCCUAGAAAUCCAUGAAAACAUAACCAAAUCAUAUGAAUUAGGGCUUGAGAUUAAAAUUCUAAAAUGAUAAUUUGAGAGGUCAAAUGAACUCUGAUUUUUGUAAAAUUGGUAUGUAUAGGCUCAUGGUGAGAUAAGGAUUGUUGUGGUGUAAAAAUUUCUGGAUUUUGAGAAGUGGGAUCGAGGCUUGGGUUUUGCAAAUUUCGUGAUUUUCGAUAUUUUUGAGUCUUUUCGAUUGGGAAUUGUUCCCUUGGCAUAUUGUCACGCCCCAAAUACGGGGGCAUGACCGGCACUCAACCAGGUAUCCCCAGUAGAGUGGACCUGGGUGCCUUUCCUAUUUCCCACGCGUUACCCAACUUCAUUCUUUGUUAAUUUUCCAAAAGAUACCAACUUUGCAAUUGAAAGAAUACAUGAAUUCUCUUUUAUAAGGACACAUUAUGAUUAAGAUGGAACAUCUUUUACAAAGCAUACAUUAUGAUUAACAGGGGAGGUGGUGUACAAGUAUACAGCGCCCAAAACAUAGACAUCUAUACAUAAGUUCUAACCCACAAACACUAUCUACAGAGCCUCUAAGAGAAAUAUAGUACAACACUUGCGGGCGACAAGGCUCCGGCUAUACCUUUAUAAAAGGACACAAGACUCCAAAAUACAAAAACAUAGGUGGCACGAGCCACACUAGGACCCCGAAAGGAAAGGGGCUCACUAAACAAGAAUACCGCCGAUUGAGAGGAGGAGGAGCUAUGAAUGGUGGACUGGAGUGCCUGCAACGGAUCUUCCUACAAUCAUAACAUGAAAGUAGCGCCCCCGAUAAAAGGGACGUCAGUACAUUUAAAUUGUACUGGCAUGUAUGAACAAACUCUGUCCCAAGUAAAUUCAAGCCAAAUUGCAUAUACAAUUAUAGAACUGAACAACAAUUGUACAAGUACAACCAUGGAGCAACAACCAAAAAUUUCACAACACAUGAUUCAAGUAGUCAAACAAAUGGGAAAUCAGUGCCUCACAGGUUACAAACUCUCCUGCUGUCUCCUUUCACAUUUCUACAUUUAUCCUUUCAUGAUUCAUGUUCAUAUCAAUAGUGAUAUUGGAUCAUAUUUUCCACCCUUAUUACCUCGUCUACCCUUAUUACCUCGGCCACCCUUAUCACCAUAACCCACACCUUAUUCCACCGUGUUGCGGUGCGCAACCCGACCCCGCCUGAAAGUUUCAAUUCACAACAACAAACAGCACAACAACAAAUACAAGAAAUCAACUGUGGCACAUUGCUAAAAAUAGAUCGACAACAAGGAUAAUGAAAUCCCACAACUAGCAACAACCAUGUCCUCAUGUUCAUCAAAGUGGUACACAAUUUGGAUUAUCACAACAGUUAUUCACAACUACUCUUCCGUAACCUUGAUGUCUUCAACUGGCACUAUUUUAAACGGAUCACCCACAACUUUCCUCCAAACUAAUCACACACGUUGUUCCACAAUAUUUCUAUUUCUACUGUUCCACAUUAUUUCCAUUUCUGUAGUUCCACAUUAUUUCCAUUUCCACUAUCCCAAGUUAUUUCCAUUUCCGUUGUUCCAAUUACAAGUUCCACAACAUUCACCACAAAGUAUUACCACAUAAUUAUAUAACACAAAAGCUUCACGAUGAUUCUCACAUGAAUAUCAACUAUCAACAAUUUCACAUCUAGCAUAGGGCGAUUUCACAAGGAUCACAGUUAGCCAUACAUANNNNNNNNNNNNNNNNNNNNNNNNNNNNNNNNNNNNNNNNNNNNNNNNNNNNNNNNNNNNNNNNNNNNNNNNNNNNNNNNNNNNNNNNNNNNNCCAAUUUGCCAAGCAAUCAAGAAGUCAAUCUAGUUCAUGAACAACACUUAGGUUUUAGAAAUUUAAACUCAUAGUUACUACACAAUUCCCUUUUUACAAGAUUUUAGGGUUUCGAAGACAUGCAUGAAGGUUUUAUGAAGAAAUUUCAAAGCAAGUGUAUGGGUUUCCCUUCCCAAGCUAAAUUUCGAAAUUUGGGGGAAAUAGGUUAGAGAUUUUACCUGAGAAAUCAAUAAGAAGAUAACACACCAAGGAUUUUCCAAGCUCCAAUGAUUUUGAAAGACUAGAUGAUAAAGAAUUCACUUUCUCUCUCAAGAACUCUCUCUCCCUCUCUCUUAUUUUUGUUCAGAAGUGUGUUAAAAUGAGGGAGAAGGUGUUUUAAUAAAAGGUGGGUCGGGUCUAAAAUUUNNNNNNNNNNNNNNNNNNNNNNNNNNNNNNNNNNNNNNNNNNNNNNNNNNNNNNNUUAGUAAAAGGUGGGUCGGGUCUAAAAUUUUAGAAAAAUACCAGGCGAACACAAUCUGCAAUCGCAGAAAUGGGCUGUAGAAAUGGCUCAAAUUUCAAACCUCUCAGGUUGGGAAUGUGGUAGAUAUGCGGUCCGCAUUUGAGUUCUGUUGUGCAAUCACUUUAUGGUCCAUAUAUUGAUUAUGGGAUCGUAGAUUUGACCGUAUUUUUAACAUUAAAAAUUGGUUGCUCUCUGAUUCACUAUGCGGUAGGAAUGCGGUCCGCAUAGCUGAUAUGCGACCGCAUUCUUGACCACAUUUUGACCAUUUUCUGGAAAAUUUUUGAUUUCCCAUUAUUAAGUUCAAAACAAUAAAAAGGGUCCAAUCCAUGUAGGUAGACUCGACUCUAUUAGUUGCUUAUAUCUGAGCACUCAUUUUCACGGGGCCUUACAUCCUCCCCCGCUUAGGAUCAUUCAUUUUCGAAUGAGUACUUGGGAAUCAAAUGAGUUUGAAAACAUGAUAUGCAAGUUUAUACACUUUUAUUAACUUUCAAGUUUGUUUUAGUAAAAUUUUGCCAGAGUUUCCUUUGUAAUAUGGACAUUACCACCUUCCAAAGAACCUCCAAAACAUAUUCCCAAGCAUUACUACACAACUACCUUCACAACAGUUGUAAAAUGCAUAAUCCUCACACUUGCAUAUAUUCAACCUCUUGAUACACCUUUAACCAUUUUGUCACACUACUUGAAAGCAAAUUAAGCAUCAAUCAUCUGUACUUAUUAAAGCCAUUUACCUAUCACAAAGGUACGACUCAGUUAUUCACUUCAAUACAAUUCCUCCAUGCAAAAACUAAUCAUCGCACAAUUAGAACACUUUGAUACACAAUCUCCAUGUAAAAUUAAUUAUUACUUCCACACAUCACCUUACCAUGGGAGUACAAAACUUUCAUUACCAAAAAGGACUGUACAUUGCUCUAAUAGUUACAACACAUAAACUUGGUUGGCAUAACUUGGAGAAACUACAACAAUAAGGCACUUGGAAAGAGAAGGAAUGAUUCUUACACCUAAUGGAACACGAAACCAGCUCUCCUAGGGACAAGAUUCGCACGAUCAUUCCUAAACUUACUCAAAUGGAUGGGGGUAUUUUAUCUUCAUCUCAUCUUCUGCUUCCCACGUGGCUUCAUCGACUUGUUGGUUUCACCACAACACUUUAACUAAAGCAAUCUCCUUGUUUCACAACUUUCGGACUUGCCUAUCCAGAAUAGCAACCGGAAUCUCCUCAUAUGAUAACUCUUCCGUAACCUUGAUGUCUUCAACUGGCACUAUUUUAAACGGAUCACCCACAACUUUCCUCAACAUGAAUACAUGAAACACCGGGUGCACUAAGGACAUUUAAGGGGGAAAUUCCAACCUAUACGCAACUUGACCGAUCCUUCGAAUGACUUGAUAAGGCCUGACAUACCUAGGAAUUAGUUUUCCAUUCUUCUCAAAGCGCAUAACUCCUUUUAUAGGGAACACCCUCAAGAAUAGCCAAUCUCCUUCUUGAUACUUCAAUUCUCUCCGACGCACGUCCGCAUAGGAUUUCUGGCGACUUUGAGCAGUCUUCAUUCUCUCCUGAAUGACUCUUACCUUCUCCAUGGCUUGGUGCACGAGAUCCGGCCCUAUAAAUUCUGCUUCACCAACCUCGAACCACCCGAUCGGGGACCUACACCUUCUUUCCUACAAUGCUUCGAAUGGGGCCAUUUGGAUGCUAGCAUGGAAGCAGUUAUUAUAAGCAAAAUCUAUAAGGGGCAGGUGCUCAUCCCAAUUACCCGAAUGGUGCCAUUUGGAUGCUAGCAUGGAAGCUUUUAUUAUAGGCAAACUCUAUAAAGGGCAGGUGAUCAUCCCAACUACCUUUGAAAUAAAAGACACAUGCCCGCAAUAUAUCCUCGAGCGUCUCAAUAGUUCGCUCUGCUUCCAUCGGUAUGUGGAUGAAAAGCUAUGCUAAGAUUCACUUGAGUGCCCAAACAUUGCUGAAAUUUCCUCCAGAAGUUAGCUGUAAACUAAGCUCUUCGAUCCAAAAUAAUAGAAAGUGGCGUACCAUGAAGCUUCACUAUCUCCUUGAUAUACAACCGAGCAUAUUGUUCCGCAAAAGUAUCGGUGGACUUGACUGGCAAAAAGUGAGCUGAUUUGGUGAGCUUAUCCACAAUUACCCAAAUUGAGUCAAACUUGUGCUGAGUACAAGGUAGUCCUGUCUCAAAGUCCAUAUUGAUCAUUUCCCACUUCCACAUUGGUAUUUCUAUAAGCUGAGUCAACCCUCCCGGGCGUUGAUGCUCGGCCUUCACUUGCUGGAAAUUUGGACACUUAGAGACGAAGUCAGCUACACUUCUCUUCGUACCACUCCACCAAUAGAUAUCCUUGAGAUCAUGAUACAUCUUUUUGAGCCUGGGUGCACCGAAUACUUGGAAUGAUGAGCCUCCGUCAUUACCCUCUCCCGAAGAUUAUCCACAUUUGGGACACAUAACCUGUAAUGGCACCGUAGCACACCAUCAUUGCUGCCGAGUGAAAAUGCUAAAAUUUUGUUACUUAGAGCUGCCUUCUUCAAUUGUGCCAAUGAUGGAUCAACAAACUGCUUUUCUUUAACCUCUGCCACGAGCGAUGAUUCUGUUUUAUUAUGAACCAUAAGUUCCUCCUCACUCAAAGCCGAGAUACAAACCCCACUACUGUACCUCCCGAGCUAGGAACCUCUGAUCCUCUUUCAAGUGAGCCAAACUACCCAUGGAUUUCCGACUAAGGGUGUCGGCCACAACGUUCGCCUUUCAUGUAUGGUACAAGAUGUCCAUAUCAUAAUCCUUAAGAAAUUCUAACCACCGCCGCUUCCUCAAAUUUAGCUCCUUCUGCUUGAAUAAAUGUUGAAGACUCUUGUGGUCUGAAAACACAUCUACAUGAACCCCAUAAAGAUAAUGCCACCAUAUUUUCAAGGAGAAUACAAUUGCUGCAAGUUCCAAAUCAUGCGUCGGAUAAUUAUUCUCAUGAUUCUUUAGUUUCCUGGAAGCAUAUGCUAUGACCUUUCCGUGUUGCAUCAGAACACACCCUAAACCAACCCUGGAGGCAUCACAAUAAACUUCAAACCCCUAUGUGCCUUCUAGCAAGGCCAAUACUGGUACCCAAGUCAACCUUGUCUUUAAUUCUUGAAAACUUUUCUCUCAAGCAUCUGACCACUGAAAUUUUGCUUAUUUCUGUGUCAAUUUGGUCAGAGGAGAGGCAAGGGUGGAGAAUCCCUCUACAAACCUCCGAUAAUACCCUGCUAACCCCAAAAAGCUAUGGAUCUCCGUCAGGGUCGUGGGCCUAGGUCAAUCCUUCACCGCUGCAAUCUUUAUGGGGUCCACCUUAAUCCCCUCACUCGAAACAACAUGACCCUGAAAAGCGACGGACUCCAACCAAAAUUCACAUUUGGAAAAAUUGGCAUACAAUUGGUGCUGAUGUAGAGUCUGCAAAACCGCUCUCAGGUGAGUGGGAUGAUCCUCCCUGCUCCGCAAAUAUACGAGGAUGUCGUCAAUGAAAACAAUCACGAAGGAGUCCCGCAUAGGAUUUCUGGCGACUUUGAGCAGCCUUCAUUCUCUCCUGAAUGUCUCUUACUUUCUCCAUGGCUUGAUGCAUGAGAUCUAGCAAUAUUAAAUCUUCUUCACCAACCUCAAACCACCCGAUUGGGGACCUACACCUUAUCAUAAGGUCCAUAAAAGUUGUCGGGGCGUUGGUUAGACCAAAACACAUGACCAAGAAUUCAAAGUGGCCGUAGCAAGUUCUGAAAGCGGUGUUAGGAAUAUCUUGCUCCCUGAUCUUCAAUUGGUGGUACCCAGACUGCAAAUCAAUUUUGGUGAAGAACCUUGAACCUUGAAAUUGAUCGAACAAAUCAUCUAUCCGAGGUAUUGGUACUUAUUCUUGAUGGUGACUUUAUUAAGCUGUCGAUAAUCGAUACACAUCUGAAGCAACCCAUCCUUCUUUGUGACAAAAAGAACUGGAGCACCCCACGACGACACACUUGGCAGAGUAAACCCCUUCUCUAAUAGAUCCUUCAACUGCUCUUUUAACUCUCGCAACUCUGCUGGCGCCAUUCUAUAUGGUGGAAUAGAUAUUGGCUGGGUAUCUGGAAAUACAUCAAUCCCGAAAUCAAUCUCCCUAUCUGGCAGAAUUCCUGGAAGCUCAUUUGGAAAUAUCUCAAGAAACUCAUUCACAACUAGCGCGGACUCGGGGGCAAGAACCUUUGGAGUAGUGUCUCCUACCCGGACUAAAUGAUAGUUACACUCCUUCCCAAUCAACUUCGAAGCCUUGAGGUAGGCAAUAAACCUACCCUUCAGCGAAACACCAUUUCUUUUCCACUCAACAACCGGAUCAUUAGGGAACUCGAGUCUUAUGACUCUCAUCUGACAAUCAAGUUUGGCAAAGAACGAGUAGAGCCAAUCCAUCCCCAUGAUUACAUCAAAAUCCACCAUCCCAAGCUCGACUAGGUCAGCCGUGGUAACAUGACCACCUACCAUAAAAACACAAUUCCUAUAGACCCGCGCAGCUGUAAUAGAAUCACCAACCAGAGUCGAUAUUGAGAACGACUCGAGAAGCUGUUCGGGUUCAAUCCCAAAACUCGAAGCAACAAAUGGAGUGACAUAGGACAAAUAAGACCCUAGAUUAAUAAGAGCAUAGCAAUCAAUGGUCUGGACAGAUAGGAUACCUGUGACAACAUGUGGGGAAGCCUCAGCACUCUGAUGGCCACUCAAUGUAUAAAACCUGCCGGGUCCUCCCCUACCAUGAACUCCACCUCUGGCUGCACCAUGCCCUGCUGGGGCUGGAGGGCGCACUGAUGACGUAGAAUCUGAUGAACUGGAUGGCUGAGCAAGUCCCCUACCCGUGCCCUGUCUGGGCGCACGGCAGUCCCGUUGUAUGUGACCUCUCACCCCACAAUUGUAACACUUUGGAGCAUCCAAGUAACAUGCCUCUCUAUGAAAUCUCCCACACUUGGGACAUAUACCUCCAUGUUGCCGAGGUCUCAUCCCCAAAUGAUUGAACUGGCGGGACCUCCUAUUGUCUGAACCUGGCCCCGAAGGGAUACUCUACUGGAAACAGUGCACGGAUGGCAGUGCACUAGCUGAGGAGAGCAUCCAAGUAACAUGCCUCUGUAUGAAAUCUCCCACACUUAGGGCAUAUACCCCCUGCUGUUGAGGCCAUAUCCCCGAAUGACUGAGCUGGCGGGACCUCCUACUCUCUGAACAUGGCGCCGAAAGGCUAAUCUGCUAGAUAUGGUGCACAUAUGACGAUGCACUAGCUGAGGACUGAGCAUAAGACUGAGAUGGUCCUGAUGACCCUCUCUCUGGAGAUGACCUCCCUGAGUGACCCAUAGACCGGACCCUGCUGCUACUCUCUCUGUCUGCCCAAAUCUUCAACUUCCUGGCCUCUCUGGCCUAAGAAAAACCCACGAUCUUUCCAUAGUUCAUGUCCGAAUGCAAAUCCGCUGUUGAAGCCUCAUUUACCAUGAAAGGGCUGAUACAUUGAACAAAUCGCCGAACUCUAGCCUUUAUAGUCGACACCAACUGAGGAGCAUACUUGGACAACCUCACAAAAUCCAUAUGAUACUCCCAAACAAUCAUGCUACCCUGCUUAAUAACCUCAAACUCAGGUACAGGCUGCCAUGGUCUCGGCAGGCAAGAAGUGGUCCAUUAAGGCAUCUACAAACUCAUCCCUUCUAGCUGGAGGUCUCCCCUCCUCACAGGAAUCCUCCCACAUCUCAAACCACGAACGCGCAGCCCCCUUCGGCCAUUGGGUUUGUGCCUGAGAAAUCUAGAGGAUUCAAUUGCAAAAACUGAUGAACUCUUGAGCUGGAAGAAUCUCCCUGUCCGCUGGAGGACACAUGGGCAUCACAAGAUCUCUGGGCCUGGGCAGCCAUUAACUGGGUCAACAUAUGGAUAGCUCCCCUAAAGUCUCUAUCAGAAAUCCCGGGAUCAAAAGCUGGAGCAACAUCAGGAUUAGGAGCAUGGGCAUGAGAGAUAGUAGCACCCUCGGCCGCUGCUGGAACAUGAUUGCUUGGAUGAGGAACGGUUGGAGCAGGCAAAUUCAGGACUGGGGAAUCAUUCUCACCCACGACAGUCGGCACAUGACCCACAGCCGCACUAGAAGUGGCAUUGGCCCCUAGGCCAAGUCUAGCUUUCUUCUUAGGUGCUAUCACUAAAAAUUCAAAAUAGAGCGCGAAUUAGACAAAACAUCACUUCACCGCACGAACUUGGAAUAACAAAGAAGAGGAUAAUUUUUCCUAAAUGCCCGUGUAGCCCCCAACUUAUAGAUGUGGUCGACAACACACCGAUACGAAGGGCUCUACUAGGCACGACUCCGAGACACCCUACGAAUCCUUUAAAACUUUAGGCUCUGAUACCAUGUUUGUCACGCCCCAAAUUCGAGGGCCUGACCGGCACUCAACCGUGUAUCCCCAGUCAAGUGGACAUGGGUGCCUUUCCUAUUUGACAAUACACUGAUAAGAAGAGCUCUACUAGGCACGGCUCCGAGACACCCUAGUACUCCAUUAAAACUUUAGACUCUGAUACCAAGUUUGUCACACCCCAAAUCCGAGGGCAUGAAUGGCACUCAGCCGGGUAUCCCCAAUCGAGUAGACCUGGGUGCCUUUCCUAUUUCCCACGCAUUACCCUACUUCAUUCUUUGUUAAUUAGCCAAAAGAUACCAACUUUGCAAUUGAAAUAACACAUGAUUUCUCUUUUAUAAACACACAUUAUGAUUAAAAGGGAACAUCUUUUACAAAGCAUACAAUAUGAUUAACAGGGGAUGUGGUGUACAAGUUUACAGCGCACAAAAGAUACACCUAUAUACAUAAGUUCUAACCCACAAUACAUUGUCUACAGAUCCUCUAAGAGAAAGAUAAUACAACACCUGCCGUCGAAAAGGCCCCGGCUAUACCUUUACAAAAGGACACAAGACUCCAAAAUACAAAAACAUAGGUGGCAUGAGCUACACAAGGCCCUGGAAGAAAAGGUGCUUACCAAACACGAAUAUCGCCGAUAGAGAUGAGGAGGAGCUACGAACGAUGGACUGGAGUGCUUGCCACAGAUCCACCUACAUUCAUAAUAUGAAUGUAGCGCCCCCAGCAAAAGGGAUGUCAGUACAUUUGAAUUGUACUGGCAUGUAUGAACAAACUUUUCCCCAAGUAAAAUCAAACCAUAUACAAGUAAAAAAAAACAGUAGUAAAAGCAGCAACAAACACACACGGAAGGAACAAUCAAGACAAACAAGUUCACAAACUCUCCUGGUUCCCCUUCCACAUUUCCAUGCCAAUAGUUUCACAUUUUCAUAUAGAACUGAACAACAAUAGUACAAGUACAACCAUGGAGCAACAACCAUAAAUUUCACAACAAAUGAUUCAAGUAGUCAAACAAAUGGCAAUCAAUACCCCACAGGUUACAAACUCUCCUGCUGUCUCCUUUCACAUUUCCACAUUUAUCAUUUCAUGAUUCUUGUUCAUAUCAAUAGUGAUAUUGGAUCAUAUUUUCCACCCUUAUUACCUCGUCCACCCUUAUCACCCCAACCCACACUAUUGGAUCAUAUUUUCCACCCUUAUUACCUCGUCCACCCUUAUCACCCCAACCCACACCUUAUUCCACCGUGUUGCGUCAUGCAACCCGACCCCGCCUGACAGUUUUAAUUCACAACAACAAACAAUACAACAACAAAUACAAGAAAUCAACUAUGGCACAUUGUUAAAAAUAGAUCGACAACAAGGAUAAUGAAAUCCCACAACUAGCAACAACCAUGUCCUCAUGUUCAUCAAAGUGGUACACAAUUUGGAUUAUCACAACAGUUAUUCACAACUAAUCACACAUGUUGUUCCACAAUAUUUCCAUUUCCAUUGUUCCACAUUGUUUCCAUUUCCAUUGUCCCACGUUAUUUCCAUUUCCGUUGUUCCAACUACAAGUUCCACAAAAUUCACCACAAAGUAUUACCACACAAUUAUACAACACAAAAGCUUCACAAUGAUUCUCAGAUGAAUAUCAACUAUCAACAAUUUCAUAUCUAGCAUAGGGCGAUUUCACAAGGAUCAAAGUUAGCCAUACAUACCUGGAGUUGAGUUUUCCCCUUUAAACCUUUAGUCCAAUUUGCCAAGCAAUCAAGAAGUCAAUCUAGUUCACGAACAACACUUAGGUUUUAGAAAUUUAAACUCAUAGUUACUACCCAAUUCCCUUUUUACAAGAUUUUAGGGUUUUGAAGACAUGCAUGAAACUUUUAUGAAUAUAUUUCAAAGCAAGUGUAUGGGGUUCCCUUCCCAAGCUAAAUUUUGAAAUUUGAGGUAAAUGGGUUAGGGAUUUUACCUGAGAAAUCCAUAGAGAAGACAACGCACCAAGGAUUUUACAAGCUCCAAUGAUUUGAAAGACUAGAUGAUGAAGAAUUCACUUUCUCUCUCAAGAACCCUCUCUCUCUCUCUCUCUCUCUCUCUUAUUUUGGUUCAGAAGUGUGUUAAAAUGAGGGAGAAGGUGUUUUACUAAAAGGUGGGUCGGGUCUAAAAUUUUAGAAUAAUACCAGGCGAACACAAUCUGCGACGCGAUCUGCGAACGCAGAACAGACAUUUGGUCCGAAUAAUGGACCGCAUAAAUGGCUUAAAUAUGAAACCUCUCUGGUUGGGAACGUGGUGGAUAUGCGGUCCGCAUUUCAGUUCUGCGGUCGCAGAAUGCACCGCAGAACUGAGCUUCGAAUUUCCUCAGGGACAAUAUGCGAUGACUCUGCGGUCCACAUAUUGAUUAUGCGAUCGCAGAUUUGACCGCAUUUCCAACAUCAAAAUUUUGUUGCUCUCUAAUUCAUUCUACGGUAGGAAUGCGGUCCGCAUAAUUGAUCUGCGACCGCUCAACAUAAAAAAUUUGUUGCUCCCUGAUUUAGUGUAUGGUAGGAAUGCGGUCCGCAUAGCUUAUCUGUGACCGCAUUCUUGACCGCAUUUUGACCAUUUUCUAGAAAAAUUUUGAUUUCCCAUUUUUAAGUUUAAAACAGUAAAAAGGGUCCGGUCCAUGUAGGUAGACUCGACUCUAUGAACUGCUAACAUCUGAGUACUCAUUUUCACGGGGCCUUACAUAUAUUGUGAUGUAUUUCUAUGAUUUUGGCUAGAUUCGACGCGUGUGGA
rnacentral:lncRNA from 1 species